rnacentral:pre_miRNA from 1 species
AUAAUAUUUCCUUCGUCCGGAAAUAUUUAUUUUUGAAAUGGUUGUAUCUAGACUUAUUUUAGUUAUAGAUACAUUCAUUUUAUCCAUUUUUAAGAUAAGUAUUUUCGAACGGAGGGAGUAUGAC